UUCCAGACGAGUCUUUCCCAGGCCAACUUUUAAAGGUCGGAGGAAAGUUUCUCAUGGGGUGGGGGCCCAGAGGGGAUGGCAGGGUGGGCUCCGACGCCUCCUCGCCUUUAAGCGGGUGGCCCCGGCUCUUCCUCCGUUACCUGGAGCGGGGAGGGGCUUGGGAAAGUUUGUGUUUGUUGCUGGCAAAGCGCCGGAUGGGAGGCGCGGGCGGGCGCUGCGGUUCUUCCCUUCUGCUUUCGGGAAGCGGUCGGGGCUCGCCUGUAAUCCCAGCACUUUGGAAGGCUGAAGUGGGAAGACGGCUUGAGGCCAAUAGUGCAAGACCAGCCUGGGCAACACAGAUCUCGUCUCUAUAAAAAAAAAAAAAUUUAAUUAGCUGGGCGUGGUGGCAUGUGCCUAUGGUCCUAGCUAUUUGGGAGGCUGAGGCAGGAAGAUGGCUUGAGCCUGGGAAGCAAAGGUUGCAGUGAGUCAUGAUUGCACCACUGCACUCCAGCCAUGCAGGAGGUGAUGGUUGUCUUGGCAGCAAAAACUAAGAAAAGUUGCGUUGACUGUAAAGAGCCUGUCAGUAC
rnacentral:lncRNA from 1 species